rnacentral:ncRNA from 1 species
AUGACAAAGGCAAACCGUCCGAAAGGGCGGGACGCAAAGCCAGGGGGCUAAGGCGCGAGCGCUAAGCCGGCCCGGCUGCCA